rnacentral:lncRNA from 12 species
UCCUCAUUAAGCUCAGAGGGAGACAUGUCAGAAGUAUUCCCAUGAAGAUGCAUGAAUUUGUUGCUUUCGAGAAAUGGAUUGACAUGAAGUUAGCACCCAGGCCCUUUGCUUUAAGAUGCCUAUCAGCUUGAGCUGAUCUGUUUGCAGAUUCUGUACCAUAUGCAGGGGGAGUAUCUGCAUCCAGUUUUUGGGUGCUCAAGAUGACACGAUUGGGAACAGAUGGUUUAGUGGAAGUCUGCAGAAUUCAAGCAAAUAAAAUGCAUCCUUUUUUGGGGGUGGGGGCAGGGAGAGUCAUGUACCAAUAUUUUUGUCCAAAUUAAGGAAUUGUAACAUGUAAACUCUGGUAUUUAAUUGUAUCAGUAGGUUUGGUUUCCUGUUUGUUGAAGUUUCCUGCAUGGUAGUUACGGCUAUCCUGCGUGAGUCGGUUCUUGGCAGUAAUUAUACAAUGUUUGUUCUUAUUCUGUGCUUUAUUAUGUCUUCCCAUGCGUCCACGUGCUGUCUUGUUUUGUCUCUGGGAUGCUAAUGGAAUAGUUGAAGGAAGGAGCAGCUGAAGAAACGGGCUCUGAUCCUGUGGUGUGGGUCUGGUUACUGUGAUAGCAGCAGUUAGUUCCCUUGUGAUGAAGCAAGAGUUCUCCUGAAUUAUGGACAACUUCUCGUUUUCUUUCGUCCCACCAAAUCAUCCCGAAGAUGAUUUCCUUCCCACUUUCAUUCUGAAGAGCUGGUGAAAGCCUUUUAGUGAAACUUGGUGUCACUGAGGAGGAAAGAAAUUGGAAAGCCAUGGAAAAAUGGCUUAUAUUGGAUCCAGGAGCUCCCGCAGAGGAAGACGUUAUCUUUAAUCCUUUUUGUCUCAGGCAGACACUGCAAGAGAUGACAAGGUUCAGCAAGAUGACUCGGGCCAAAUUUACUUUUUUCCAUCUAAGAGCCAAAGAGUGGGAAAGGAAGACCAGAUCAGCAGCAUCAGGUAACAGUGCGAGCCCAGGUAGCAAUUAUAAUAGAUAUACACUCUUGGGUGUAAGUCAUUGGUGUGAGAACCAGGAGUAGACGAGAAGCCGGCUAAAGAAUUAUAACCCUCAAGGAAGAUGCACCCUGGGACGUCAAGGGCAUAAUGUAUAUGGAAUGUCAUUGCCCUCAAAUAUCAUUCCUAUCUGACCAUCAAAAAGAACUGGCGAAUUUAGUCCCUCAGAAGAAAAGAAGGAAUGAGUGGAUCUAUUAUUAUUAUUAUCAUAUAUUAAAUGUAUAAAGGUCUAGCCCUAGGCAAAAUUUGUGAAUUGAGUCUACUCAUUUUCUCUCUGCGUCUCUACCUACUUCAAGAAUCCAAUACCCACCUUCUUGCCAUUUCUCUCACUCUGCUCUUAGGAAAUACUUCAUUAAAUUUAUUUACACCGAAGCGAAGACUCUGACAGCCUUGGAGAGGGAAUAAGGGGCCAUAGGCCUGAUGCUGGCUUCGUUACCACUUUGUCCUGGGGUGUAUGUCAGGUGAACUGUGUCACCUCUUUGGGCUCCAGGGUCCUCACUGAUACAAUGAGAGGGUUGAACUAGGUGAGUGAUAUUUCUAGAACACUUUCGUCCCCAUGAUUCUAGGUGGGAAAGACAGGCUAAACAUUAGGCUAAUUUUAGGCUAAAAUGUUAGGCUAAAAAUGUUACCCUCGAAUAUGGCAUUUAAAUGGAAGUGGAGCUGACAAAGCCCUACACCGUAGAAAUGAAGCUUGACUUGAGGCAUCCACUGGGACACAGGGAAGUAUUUGGGGGUGUGUGUUUGUUUGACUAGAACUGCUGAGGUCAUAUCACAUGAAUGGCUGCCAUACAAGAACCCAAGACUGGACCUACGUGUGUAUCUUAAUGUAACUUGAGUUGGGCCAUAGUUCACACAAGAGCCCCUAAUUGGACAAGAGAUUUUUGGAAGCUACACUUUUCCAGGGCAACAUUAGUGCAGAGAAGCAACCAUUCAUGAAGGGUUACUCCAGUGUCUAAAAGAGCUAGGGCCAUUUCCAGAAAUGUCUGCUUCAUGGUAAAGGAGUGACUUACACCAGGAGUGUUUUUU